rnacentral:rRNA from 1 species
GAUGAACGCUGGCGGCGUGCCUAAUACAUGCAAGUCGAGCGAACAGAUGAGGAGCUUGCUCCUCUGACGCUAGCGGCGGACGGGUGAGUAACACGUGGAUAACCUACCUAUAAGACUGGGAUAACUUCGGGAAACCGGAGCUAAUACCGGAUAAUAUAUUGAACCGCAUGGUUCAAUAGUGAAAGACGGUUUUGCUGUCACUUAUAGAUGGAUCCGCGCCGCAUUAGCUAGUUGGUAAGGUAACGGCUUACCAAGGCAACGAUGCGUAGCCGACCUGAGAGGGUGAUCAGCCACACUGGAACUGAGACACGGUCCAGACUCCUACGGGAGGCAGCAGUGGGGAAUCUUCCGCAAUGGGCGAAAGCUUGACGGAGCAACGCCGCGUGAGUGAUGAAGGUCUUCGGAUCGUAAAACUCUGUUAUUAGGGAAGAACAAAUGUGUAAGUAACUAUGCACGUCUUGACGGUACCUAAUCAGAAAGCCACGGCUAACUACGUG